UACGGAGGGUGCAAACGUUGCUCGGAAUCAUUGGGCGUAAAGCGCACGUAGGCGGUCCUGCAAGUCGGGUGUGAAAGCCCUCGGCUCAACCGAGGAAGUGCAUCCGAAACUGCAGAACUUGAGUAGUGAAGAGGGUCUCGGAAUUCCCGGUGUAGAGGUGAAAUUCGUAGAUAUCGGGAGGAACACCAGUGGCGAAGGCGGAGACCUGGGCACAUACUGACGCUGAGGUGCGAAAGCGUGGGGAGCAAACAGG
rnacentral:rRNA from 2 species